GUGUCAGCAGCCGCGGUAAUACGUAGGGGGCGAGCGUUGUCCGGAUUCAUUGGGCGUAAAGCGCGCGCAGGCGGCUUCGUAAGUCGGCCGUGAAAUCUCCAGGCUCAACUUGGAGGGGUCGGGCGAGACUGCGGAGCUCGAGGCAGGUAGAGGGCGGUGGAAUUCCGGGUGUAGUGGUGGAAUGCGUAGAGAUCCGGAGGAACACCAGUGGCGAAGGCGGCCGCCUGGGCCUGACCUGACGCUGAGGCGCGAAAGCGUGGGGAGCGAUCCGGAUUAGAUACCCUCGUAGUCC
rnacentral:rRNA from 1 species